rnacentral:rRNA from 1 species
UACAGAGGGUGCGAGCGUUAAUCGGAAUUACUGGGCGUAAAGCGUGCGCAGACGGUCAUGUAAGUCGGGUGUGAAAGCCCCGGGCUCAACCUGGGAAUUGCAUUCGAGACUGCGUAGCUAGGGUGCGGAAGAGGGAAGCGGAAUUUCCGGUGUAGCGGUGAAAUGCGUAGAUAUCGGAAGGAACACCAGUGGCGAAAGCGGCUUCCUGGUCCAGCACCGACGUCAGGCACGAAAGCGUGGGGAGCAAACAGG